UUUAAAACGUUGAUGAGGUUAAAGGUUAUAGAUAUUUGUAUUCACAGAGAGCUGGUCGUGCUGAAAGCCAGUAAUACAACUAUAUCCGACAUCCCCUCGGAGUGAGCUAUUAAACGCGCAAGCCAUUAGAUAGCUUCGGGCACAACAGAGUGCCUGUUACAAAUGAAUAUGUGCUACUUAUAGCAUGUAUUCCUGAGAUAGCAAUUUGCUAUGAACAAGGGUGGUACCAUGAAAAGGCUUUUUUCAUCCCUCGC
rnacentral:ncRNA from 1 species